AUGGAAGUUCCCAGGCCAGAGGUCAAAUCAGAGUUACAGCUGCUGCCCUGCACCACAGCCAUAGCCACAGCAAUGCCAGAUCCGAGCCACGAAUGCGACCUACACCACAGCUCAUGGCAACACCAGAUCCAUAACCCACUGAGCGAGGCCAGGGGAUCGAACCUGCAUCCUCAUGGAUACUAGUUGGGUUCGUUACCGUUGAGCCACAAUGGGAACUCCCAAGAUUUUCUAGGUUUAAUAAGUCCUCAAAGCCUUUGCAUAAAUUCUGUUUGCCUUUUUUUGUUGUUUUUGGUUUACGGUCAAGAUCAGUGGGGUAUACAUUUUUUAUGUGGAAGUAAAAGGCACACAUUUGGUAUUAGUUGUGUUUGAAACUGUUAAGCCUGUUUCUUUGACCUCUGCCGGGGUCCUUGCGGUGGGAGUAAGAGGUCUUGAGAGGUGAUCUCUCCCCCAAACCUCUGGGAGGAGGAAGAAGUCCUUCCCCCAUAUUCUCUGCAUUCCUAUUGCCCUGAUCCUGUCUUUGUAGGAAGACGGUCACGAGCCAGAAAGUUUUCUGUUGUAAACUUUCAAAUUAUAGGGGAAAAUGACUCGACAGCAAGUUCCUAUCAGCGGCUUAACUGCCCCAAAUCCAGAAAUGCCAGGCUUUGCCGAGGGAUCAGCCAGACUUGGUCACGCCCCCAGCCCUGUGCUGAAAUCCUCAUGGACACUCAGGUGUGUGACCUGAGGCGCUGCCUGUCUCCAUCAGCAAGGCAGGAUUUGCGUGAGUGCCCCAUGCUGGGUUUGUUAAAGCUGGGAAGGCUCCUUCCGGGAGACAGUCAGCAGUAGCACCUGUUCUGUGGGGGCAGGUUUGUGAGUUUCCUACCCCGGGGAAUGUCGCUUGGUUUUACAACGUGUUGUCAACCAUGCCUCCUGGAUGGGGAACAUGAUUCCAGAGGUUUUCUGGGUAAACACAAACAAUUUUAAGAGAAAGGGGGAAAUGCAGGCAGGAGAGGAACCUGAGGCUUGGGGAAGCUAGGCGUUUUGCGAUGGGUCACAUCCGAGCUAAGUAGUCAGCUCAAGGGCAGGUCUGCCAGUGUUGGCCAGGUGCUGCGGCAGAUCCAAGGUAUGAGGCACAGUUUGGGACCUUUGUAAUCUUAAAGUGUGAUUACAGAAUUGAUGAUUAAACUACCUGGAAAUUAGAUACAAACACUAAGUCCUUUGUAUACUUAAACACACCGGAUUUGUCUGUCCUGUCUUAGCCUCUGCUCGCCCUCUGUCUAGUCAGUGCCGCCCGUCUUCCCUGCUUUUCCGCUCACAGUUCAGCAGCUUGGUGUUCUGACUACUUGCCUGCUGUGUGCUGGGCAUUGUUCUAAACUCCCAGGUGUAUUAACUUACUUUGUCCUUCUGGCCAACCCCCCCCACCAUGUGCUAUUGUGACAGGUGAGGCAGCCUAGGCAGAUUGAGUUCCUAACUUCCCCAGGGCACGUGGCAGUGGUAGAAGACGCAGGGUUGGAGUCGGUCUGGAGCUUGCCCUCUGAGCCAGGAAGCUCUGCUGCCUCCCACCCUCACCCACCAUCCUGGAGGGUCUCCCAUUCGAUCUUGUGCUAUGGUCUCCUGAGCCUUCCUCUUUCAGCUCUCCCCUGCGACGCAGAAGCCUGCCCUCUGCUUCCACUCUGAGCACUGCAGGAAAAGGCACACGGAAAUCAGAGUCACCCUCUGAGCCACAGACUGAUGGAUGAGGCUGGGCACAGUUAACCUAGCUGUCUCAGGGAUGCCCUCAGCUGCUGUCAUCUUUGGAUUUGUCAUUUUGCCAUCGAUGCUCCCUAGCGCCGUGCUAACUUGCCUUGUCUGGGCCUGAUCUGGGGCGGGUGGUCAUCAGGCCUCCCCACCAUCUCCCAGUAUCGAAGGUGGCCUUGGGCCAACAUCAGCCAGUCUGAGGGAACAUUUACCAUCCCAGCCCCCAGACUUUUUGGAGCCAGAGACGUCUUCUGAACAGCGUAUAACAACGUUCAUCGUCCUUGCGUCUCACAGCUUUCAUCACUGCACUUGCAACCUGAAAUCAGCAGGUCACUCUAUGGAACUCUAUCCACUGAUAAAACUGCUCACCCCAGAGCAGCACAUUGAAGAAUAUGGGGUGCUUGGCGGUGGAGUCUGGAAACCCUUGCCAGCCCUCUGGAGGAGGUGGCAUGGACUGUGCUGAGCUGGGUGGGCCUGGGCUCUGGACUCCUGCAAGUGGGCAGGAUCUGACCUGUGUUCGGGGAGGGAGAAAAUAGGUGGGUGCAGCCAGCUUCUGGUCUGAGAACUGUGUGUAGGUCACCCUGAGAGAAGGGGACCCAUCUGCCCAGCCAGUCCCAGAAGUGGUAGGACUCCAGCUGUGGCGGCCAGACUCCCUGCCUCCUUACCUUGGCAUGCGAGCUGCGGCGGGGCUCAUGUGUGCUGGUCGAGAAGUGAUAGGCACCCACCUCCCCAUCCACACAACAGACAGAGGGGACCCACCCAGGGACUGUACAAAGACCAAUCUGUUUUGCCCUGUGGAAUGACCUUAUUUGCGGGCAAUGGGAAUGAUUCUUUAACAUCUAAAAUCCCUCUACAGGGUAGAAGCUGCACUUGGGCAGACUCCCAUGGGCCAGGAAUGUUUACCUGUUUAAUCUGUAGCCUGCAAGGUGGGUGGUGUUGCCCCCUUUCACCUGUUAGGGAACAUGUGCAGAAAGAGAAAUCAGUUGUCCAAAGUCACCAAUUAGUAGCAGGCUGGGGUGAAGUCCCCCCUCUGCUGUUCUUACCAGUCGGCUUCCCUGUACCUUGGCCCUCUCCCUUGCUUGUCCCCCCAAAACAGUCACUGCUGCCUCCCCUACUGAGGACAGUUGGGCACAAGGGCUGGGAGGUUCAUCUGUGGUCACAGCUCCAGGCCUCUGUAUUGCAAGUUUGCACUUGGACUAGGAGGCUUGCCGGGAGGAAGGCAGCCAGCCUGCUCGAUCCCUCUGCAAGCUCCCUCCCACCCGCUGCAGCCUGCCAGCCUUGCUAACAUCAUGCCAGUCGCCUCUGGCCUUCUGGCCCUUCCAGAACAGGUCUGUUUCCCAGGAAAGGACUUGGAGAUAAACCAAGUGUCUCUGGUUAGAUGCCCUUCUGCCCUUGAAAGGGUGGGGCUGGUAAGCCUGCCAGUCCAGCUUCUUGGUUAGCUUGUUCGUCUCGGGGCGGCUGUCAUGGCUUUCAUCCGGUGCCAUGUUCCUGGGCAUAAAUAUGGAGCUGUUUGGAGACAGGCACAGAGAUCCUUGAGAGCUAAGCAAGGAAAUGGGAUCUGAAAAAGACAGGUGACAGGGUCCCUGUGGGGCUCUGGCUUCUUUCUCCAUAAGGAGGCAGUUGGUAUCCCUGUCCACUCUUCCUGGGCAGGCAUCUCCUGGCAUUUAGAUAAGAACUGGAGGGCAGACCUGGCCUCCACUCAGCCUACCUGCAGUCUCCUCCAGUGACCCAGGAAUAAUGCAAAGCCCUGGCCCUCCCACCACUAUCCGUUCCUAAUUUACCCAUGGUUUCCUAAACCAGAUUCAUUAUCUGAAACAAAUAACUACUACCACUUCCCCUUCAGGGCAAUUAAAAAGAUUUUUUUUCCCCGUGUUUCGUUUCUGCUGGAUUCAAGGUAUGGAAUGCUCCUGGGCUUACUAAACUCAUGUGGCCUUCCCGUCUAGGCCCCAUGGAGGACCAGGUGUGCCCAAGAUAACCAGGUUAGCCCUUCCCGGGAUGGGCAGAACCGUGCAGGCAGGAGGCAUUGAGCUCCCCCUGCUGGUCAUUAUGGGGUCAUGACAUCGCAUCACUUAUGCCAGUGAGUAUCCAGAGCUGCUUGCCAGUUAAGAGGCCAGGUGUGGAGUUAGUCCCUGUGAUUUUGCUACCAACAUCAGCAACAAAGAUAUUUAUGAAGCAUCAAAUAUGGGGAAUACAGAAAUUGCCAAGGUAACACAGCCUGGCCUUGGGUCUCUGAAAUUUCCAUUUAAGGACCUUUGGUUUAUUUUGUUGAGAAAUCUGUGUUCCCACCACCAAAAAUUAAUAGUAGUUAAUAUUUGAUCAUAUAUGCUUUAUAUUAUUUAUUUAUUUAUUUAUUUAGUCUUUCUAGAGCCACAUCCACAGCAAAUGGAGGUUCCCAGGCUAGGGGACAAAUCAGAGCCAUGGCUACCAGCCUACACCACAGUCACAGCAACGCCAGAUCCGAACCACAUCUGCAACCUACACCUCAGCUCAUAGCAAUGCCAGAUCCUUAACCCACUGAGCGAGGCCAGGGAUUGAACCUGCGUCCUCAUAGAUACUAGUCAGAUUUGGGUUUCUGCCGAGCCACCAUGACGGGAACUCCCUGCAUUACAUUUUAAAAUAAGAUUUCCCCUUUGUCCCUCACUCCCUACCUAAUCCCCUUUCUCCCUCUUAAAGGCAACCACUAAUCAGAGAACCAGUCACCUGCCUUAUCAUCUAGGAUAAAUGAAGUUGAGGAAUGAUUGGAGGUGAGGCUUGUAGGGGGAAUUGUUUUAAACAAGUAUCCACAGGCAUUCAGCAGCACUGGGGAGGGAUGAGACCCCCAAGGGGGACAUAAUUGCCUAGUGGUUUGAAGAUUAAGCUCUUUCUACAGGUGGACCCGGAUGAGGGCAGAGCCUUGGUUUUGCUGCAUUGGGAUGUCCAGGCUUGGGUGUCCUGAGCUCACCCUCCCUGCACAGCAGUGAAGAAUAGACUUGAUCUACCCAGAGAUAUUCUUUCCCCUUCCUUACCCAGCACGCUGCUGCCCUUUGUCCCUCAAAUAUGGUGAACAAAUAUUGAAGAGUGUCGAUCUAAGGGAACAUUUAGUUGUCUGUCUGUUUGAUUAUGGGUAUUUUUAGUUGCUUAUGGUGCUUGCUUGUCUAGCUCUAGGCUCACAAAAACCAGUGUCUCACCACCCCACCUCCCACCCCCCUGGGAGAACAAAGAGUAAAGCAUCCCUGGGAACACCCAGCUUUGGCCCAGAAUCACCACUGCUGUUCCUGGGCUGCUGCCUCUAUAGGCCCCUCUGCUUGCAACCUCCUGGACCACCAGCAGUUGGAGAAGGAUGCUGUCUGUGCACUUCACUCUGGGCCACCUGGAUGCUAGUAGCCAUGUUUCUCUUGCUGGGUUCCAUUUGGACUCUUGUUGAGCAGAAUGUGAACUUCCUUUGGUAAACUUUCCUUUCUUAAAUUUUAUUUUAUUUUUUGGCCAUGAGGGCAGCAUGUGAAAGUUCCCUGGCCAGGGAUCGAACCCGGGCUACAGCAGUUACCUGAGCUACUGCAGUAACAUUGCCAGAUCCUUAACCCACUGUGCUACUAGAGAACUCUGGUGAACUUUCCUUCUAAUUUCAACAUUCCAGAAACUGGAAUUCUUACAUUCUGGGAAUAGCUUUUGAACAGUUCAGCAGUUGAGGCAUGCCUUCUGGUGUUUGUUAUUCCUUAAGUAUGCAUUUUCUAACCAGAUGUUUCCAAAAAUAGGAUUACCUUAGAAAUCUAUACAUAGAACUACCAUAUGACCCAUAUAUGAUCCUACUCUUGGGCAUAUAUCCGGACAAAACUUUCCUUAAAAAAGACACAUCCACCUCUAUGUUCAUUGCAGCACUAUUCACAAUAGCCAAGACAUGGAAACAACCCAAAUGUCCAUUGAAAGAUGAUUGGAUUAGGAAGAUGUGGUGUAUAUACACAAUGGAACACGACUCAGCCAUAAAAAAGAAUAAAAGUGUUCCAUUUGCAGCAACAUGGAUGGAACUAGAGAAUCUCAUACUGAGUGAAGUAAGUCUGAAAGAAAAAGACAAAUACCAGAUGAUAUCACUUAUAUCUGGAAUCUAAUAUACAGCACAAAUGAACCUCUCCACAGAAAAGAAACUCACAGACUUGGAGAAUAAACUUGUGGUUGCCGAGGAGGAGGAGUCAGGUGGAUUGGGAGCUUGGGGUUAAUAGAUGCAGACUAUUGCCUUUGGAAUGGAUUAGCAGUGAGAUCCUGCUGUGUAGUACUGGGAACUAUAUCUAGUCACUUAUGGUGGAGCAUGAUAAUAUGAGAAAAUAGAAUGUUUACAUGUAUGUAUAACUGGGUCACCAUGCUGUACAGUAAAAAAAAAAAAAAAUCGUAUUGGGGAAAUAACAAU
rnacentral:lncRNA from 1 species